rnacentral:rRNA from 1 species
UACAGCGGGGGCUAGCGUUAUUCGGAAUUAUUGGGCGUAAAGGGCGCGUAGGCGGCCUUGCGUGUCUUUCGUGAAAUCCCUCGGCUUAACUGAGGACGUGCGGAAGAAACUGCAGGGCUUGAGUCCGGGAGAGGGGGGUGGAAUUCCCAGUGUAGCGGUGAAAUGCGUAGAUAUUGGGAGGAACACCGGUGGCGAAGGCGGCCCCCUGGACCGGUACUGACGCUGAGGCGCGAAAGCGUGGGGAGCAAACGGG